GUGGGGAAUAUUGGGCAAUGGGCGCAAGCCUGACCCAGCAACGCCGCGUGAAGGAAGAAGGCUUUCGGGUUGUAAACUUCUUUUACCAGGGACGAAACAAAUGACGGUACCUCAUGAAUAAGCCACGGCUAACUACGUGCCAGCAGCCGCGGUAAUACGUAGGUGGCGAGCGUUGUCCGGAUUUACUGGGUGUAAAGGGCGCGUAGGCGGACUGGCAAGUCAGAUGUGAAAUACAGGGGCUCAACCCCUGAACUGCAUUUGAAACUGUUGGUCUUGAGUAUCGGAGAGGCAAGCGGAAUUCCUAGUGUAGCGGUGAAAUGCGUAGAUAUUAGGAGGAACACCAGUGGCGAAGGCGGCUUGCUGGACGACAACUGACGCUGAGGCGCGAAAGCGUGGGGAGCAAACAGGAUUAGAUACCCUUGUAGUCC
rnacentral:rRNA from 1 species